CCUUGUACACACCGCCCGUCAAGUCAUGAAAGUCGGUAACACCCGAAGCCAGUGGCCCAACCCCUUGUGGGAGGGAGCUGUCGAAGGUGGGACUGGCGAUUAGGACU
rnacentral:rRNA from 1 species